GAUGAACGCUGGCGGCGUGCCUAAUACAUGCAAGUAGAACGCUGAAGGAGGAGCUUGCUCUUCUGGAUGAGUUGCGAACGGGUGAGUAACGCGUAGGUAACCUGCCUGGUAGCGGGGGAUAACUAUUGGAAACGCUAGCUAAUACCGCAUGACAACAGUUAUUGCAUGAUAAUCGUUAAAAAGGGGCAACUGUUCCAUUACCAGUUGGACCUUCGUUGUCUUAGUUAGUUGGUGAGGUAACGGCUCACCAAGGAGACGAUACAUAGCCGGCCUGGGGGGGGGGACGGCCAAACUGGGAACGAGACACGGCCCAAACGCCUACGGGAAGGAGCCGUAGGGAAUCUUCGGCAAUGGACGGAAGUCUGACCGAGGAACGCCGCGUGAGGGAAGAAGGGUUUCGGAUCGGAAAGAUCUGUUGUAAGGGAAAAACGAGAGUUGGAGUGGAAUGUGCACACUGUGACGGUAUCUUACCAGAAAGGGACGGCUAACUACGUG
rnacentral:rRNA from 1 species